GAUCCUGGCUCAGAUUGAACGCUGGCGGCAGGCUUAACACAUGCAAGUCGAACGGUAACAUAAAGAAGCUUGCUUCUUUGAUGACGAGUGGCGGACGGGUGAGUAAUGCUUGGGAAUCUAGCUUAUGGAGGGGGAUAACUACGGGAAACUGUAGCUAAUACCGCGUAAUAUCGAAAGAUUAAAGUGUGGGACCUUCGGGCCGACCAUGCCAUAGGAUGAGCCCAACGUGGGGAGUUAGGUAGUUGGUGAGGUAAAGG
rnacentral:rRNA from 1 species